CCCAGCCAUGCCCACUAAAGCACAUCCCUCAUUGUCACACUACCAUUUUCUUGAACACCUUCAGGGAUGGUGACUGCACACCUCCAUGGACAGCCUGUCCAAUGCAUCACCAAUCUCUCUGAGAAGAAAUUUUCCCUUAAUAUCUAACCUGAACCUCCCAUGGCACAACUUGAGGCCAUCACUUCUCAUCCUACCGCUGUUACCUGGGAGCAGAGGCCAACCCUCACCUUGCCACAACCUCCUUUCAGGAGUUAUUGGGAGCCACAAAGUCUCUCCUGAGUUUCCUCUUCAGGCUGAACCAUCCGAGUUCCCUCAGUUCUCAUCAGACUUGUGUUCCAGACCCUUUAUAGCUUUGUUGACCUGAAGCAAUGAGCCUUGUGUACUGGAGAAGAAAUCUUACCUGGAGAGAUCUGAUAGUCUCUGUUCCACCACAUUUUCUCUAGGACUGUUGGGCAACAGGGUGAGCAGUUUGUCAGCCUGGAUACAUUGGUCUGGUUGGGACAAGGAAGAAACUGGUGCUGUGGCCCUUACUCAUUGACCCAAAAGCCUGCAAAACUUGAGCCUAGCUCCGCGUCUGCAGACAUCUCCAUCUGAGCUGCAAGCCCUGCGCUCCCCAGACAUUAGAGUCAAGAGAGGAAAACAGGCACUUCUGAGGAGCCAUUCAUCUCAGCCUCAUGUAGACGUUUCUAUUAGCUCAGAAUCAUGCUCUGUUUCUCUUCACUGACUAUAAAGGCAGCCUGGGGUGACUGGCUCCCAUGGAGGCCUCCAUCGUGCAGAUGCCUAUGUGAGGUAGGAUUCUUUUUGUUCUGCAGAAGUCAGCCACCCAGCUUUAAGUCAGAGCUUUGAUUUUGGAGAUUUAACUGCUUUUUCUGUUUGUUUGUUUGUUUGUUUCAUUUAUCGACUACAGAAGGGCUCUGGUAAAGGUGAACCAACCCUCCAUAGCUUUGAUAAACUUUGACUGCAUCACACCCUGUUGACUUCUGCUUUGGUGACGCAUGGCAAGUGCAGAAGUACUGGUGGGUCAAGGACAAGUCAUGCUCAGGUGACUCCUGCAGAAUGCUACCACAUCACUCAAGCAAUUCAGGCCAUGCACAGAAGAUGGGCACGCUCCCUUCAUAAGUGCUUAUGUUGGGGAUUUGGUGUCCUCUGCUGAGCACGACCUAUCAUCAGCUUGGCGAUGACAAGGUGCAAAUGUUGGCAACCUGAGCCACAAAUCUUAGGGUCUUUUAACAUAUCUCCAGUGGCCAGCACAAACCAAAUGGAAGAACAACGAGAAGACACAGGCAGCAUGAAAUCCACAGACACAGAGCACUAAACCAAAACACCACCACGCUGCUCACACAGAUGUCAAAACAAAGCACAAGCUCUGGGAUUCAUCUUUUGCCAGUUCAGUGCAAACAGUUUGGCUCACAGAAAUUAAGCGAGGAAGUCUAGCUUCAAACACAGCCAGAGAGUGAGCGGGAAUGUGGAUGACAUCCAGCUCUUUUGAACUUGGUUGAUACUCGGACAAAGAGGGACUGAUGGUCACCCAUGAGCUGUGGAGGACAGUGGCGCUUCCCUGUUCAUUGCCAGGGAGCUGGACCAGAUGACCUUUAAAGGCCGACUCAAGAGCCCUUGCAAGGAGACAUAGUCAAACACAAACUCCUAGCUACCAAAGCUUGAGGAUCAUACAGCAAAAUCCAAGCUGAUAUACCCAGUGGGAUUUAUCAUUUAGGGUUUGGCUCCAUCUUAGUUGGGCUCUUCACUGGGCUACUUUCUGGCUCACAGUUGAGUUGACAUCUAUCCAGAUGUGACACUGAUCCAGACCUGCUGCACACAGUCACUGCACAGAGGCAAAAUAGGUGCUCCAGGACUGUGUCUUCACCCGCUAGCUACAGUCAAGUGUUGCUCACCCAAAGUUAACCACGAAAUCUUUCCUGGAGUGACUCUGAGUCUCCUGUGCAGACGAUAGUCUGAAGGGUGGUGACUGAAGACAGUAUCAGCCAAAGAUAUUAUCCAGAAGCAGUUUGCGUUCAAGUGAUCCUGCCAAAAUCACUGUAUGGAAGCUCAGAUAACAGACAACCUCUCUUUCCAAUAGAAGAAAGCCCUUUUUCUUUGCCAGUGAAACUGUGAGACAGACAUUUCAUCAGCUCAGAUCUACUGGCUGCAGUUCAGUCAAUCUGCUCUGGUUCUCGAGGGUAAAAUAACAACCCUUCUGGGUAGAGAGUGCUGUUGGCAAUUGCUUCUGUAUUCCCAUUACUUUUGACUAUUCGUUCUUCCUGCCCUUCCUUUUUCUCAUGCCAUUCUUCUGGGUCUUCCCACUUAUCAGAGAUCACAAGUCUCCUCUGAUACAAUUAUCACAAACUCAGUCCAGAAAAGGUUUCUGCUUUGCAAAGAGAAAGAGGAAAGCCCUAGAUGUUGAACGUAGCCGUACAAUUGCACAGGUGCCUCCAACCUCAGCCAUUAGCUGAUUCUGUGGAUCUGUACUUUGUUGUCUUAGUCACCCCCCCUUAAACUCUCUUAAGGCUCUUUCCAUAUAGAGCUUUGUCUGUCAAGGAAUGAAAGACAAGCCUGGGGAUAUCUAGUUAGAAGGAACAGCAACACGGACCUUGCUGAGUCAUUCUUUUUAGGAAUAAUUUUUCAAUCCUGUUUCUAAAAGCCUGGUGUCUUUUUCUCUACUUGCUGGUGGUAGACAGAACUCUGGAGAACCUCAGUAGGAUUUCAUUCUGUUGUUUAGUCAAUGAUUUGUUUCAACUCCAGAGUGAUCAUGUUGGCUCUUGAAAUGAUGUUGGCACAGUUCUGUGGCUAAAGACCUGAUCUGGCUUAUGCAUCAAGCUCGCUGGGAGAGCCUUGACCCCUUCCUUCACCAUUGCCUCAUAAAAAUAUAGCACAAGCUACAUUUUCUUUCCUCUAGGUUUUCAGAUGCCAUUGGAAUCACAGUCUUGCUUAGGAGAAGUAAGAAAAGUAGAUUUCCCUUGCCACUGUGGCACCGUGGGACAUGGUUUAGCGAGCCUGGUGGGGAUGGUUUGACAGUUAGAUUGGACGAUCCCAGUGGUCUUUUCCAACCUUAAUGAUUCUUUCAUUUGGUGAUUUUAUUUUCACACUAGUUAUAUCACCAGCAAGCUGAACUGACGUCCAGAAUCAAGAGCUGAACUCUCCUUGACACUACAGAAGAAAUCAGUUCUACAAUAAGGAGCUGGCUGUCCUGGUGCUGAAAGUGCUCGGCCUCCACUGGAACAUCCACCAGAGAAUUUGGCUCAAGAGAAAUUGUUGCACAUGAAGAUUUCCGAGCAAUCCUUUCUCACUGCUCUGUUGGAAUGGCUCAUCCAUUGAAGACAACUGUGAGCCCAGAUAUCAAUAAGACCCCUUUUUGUUUUAACCACUGACUACGCACAAACUCCGUACCUCAUCCACAACCUCACCAUCAGAGAAAUAAAAGGAAUAGUGAGUAGAGACUUCAUCCGCUCGGUUCUUUGUUCUGGGCUCAUCUCCAUGUCUUGUAUCCAACAGAUGUUUUCAGACAUGGUAUUGCAAGACGUGAUGCAGAGUUUAUAUCCUCGGCAGACAGGCCAGUUAUUGUUCUCAUAGCAGCAGAUGUCUGAAUCAGCUCAAGCAAGUGAGUUCCUGGGUGACUGCACCUUUCAUUUCUGCUCACCUGUCUUCUGCUUUUCCUCCCAUCUGCACAUCAGCUUGGAAUUAUCUUAAGAUGAAGACCGCCCUCAGCAGGAGCCUGUACAAAGCUCAGCCUAUUUAUAGGCACAUCUCUGCUUGGGACUAUCCUGUGCUACUGUGACACACACAGUAAGCUCUUUAUUAAUAAGUAGAUAAGAAGCUCCUUAGGUCUUAGGUCACUUGUACUGCAUCCCAGUUCGGGAAUUAUCCCACAGGUGAGCUCCCUUUCCAAUCACAUAUGUUCCCACCAGCAACUCCCGCAGUCACUUACACAUGAAAAUAAUAUUAGGAAAACAUUUACUGUAAGCUUUAGCUUAAUUUAGUAGAAUUUAGCAGCUGGAAAUUACAAGGAGGAGCCAGCACCUUGCAAAGAGCCAGCACUCUGCAGACCACCAGCAAGUGCUCCACAGACCUCAGCCUGGAAAGUGAUGAGACAGAUGGAAGUCAUUAUUUUGUUUUGAACAAAAUACCAUCUGGGGCCAACAUUUGCUGUCUGUUACUUCUGAGUGAAUCCAGAGAAACUCCAUCAUGUUCCUUAAUAAUCAGUUCUGGGACCAAUCUUAUUAAAUAUUUUCCUUAAUGAACUUGGCAGAAAAAAGGCAGGCGCCUGGUCAUGAGAUCUGCUGAUGACACAAACUUGAGUGACUGCAUUGCUAUUGCGGAGAAGGAUACAAAUGUGAUAUGGGAAGAGCUGUGGAUGACCUUUAAGGAAAGCCGAGUGAGAGAAGUGGGUGUGCUUUGACAGUAACAAAGAGUAGGAGACUAGACUUAGAGAUUGAGGUAGAAAAAAAUGACCUGAAAUAGUCUAUUUGAUAGAAUCAUGGAAUGGCGUAGGUUGGAGGGGACCUUAAAGAUCAUCAAGGUCCAACCCCCUGCCAUGGGUUGGUUGCUACCCACCAGAUCAGGCUGCCCAGGGCCCCAUCCAACUGGCCUUGAGCACCUCCAGGGAUGGGGGACCCACAGCUUGCCUAUUUGAACACAGUGUCCUUGAAAAGAACAACUGCAGUUGUACUGUAUCUCAGGUGAGAUGUUUCCAGUUGAGACAGGGAAGUGUUAAAUACCAUUGCACAGAGAGUAGCUGGGACAUCACCUGAGUAACUAUGAAGUUCUGGUCACCCAGAUUCAAGAAAGAUUAACUGAAAGUUGAAGAGGUGCAUCUCUAGAAAGGCAGCUAAAGUGCCUGUUUUGUUCAGAGGAGGAAAACAAGCAGAUCCAUAGGCUGCAUCUGUACUAAUUUACUGAAAUUACCUAGAUGGUUCUCCGACAGUGGGGUCCACCAGGAAGGAAUUGGGCAGCCUGGUCUGGUGGUUGGCAACCCUGCACAUAGCAGGGGGGUUGAAACUGGAUGAGCAUUGUGGUGCUUUUCAACCCAGGCCAUUCUGUGAUCCUAUGAUUCCAUGAUUUUAUGAUCCUAUGAUCCUAUGAUUCCAUGAUUCUAUGAUCCUAUGAUUCUAUGCCCUUCCAUUACAGGGCUUUGUGCAUCUUUGCCUUCAACAUGGUGACAUUCUCCCAGUAUUCCAGCGUGGACUAUUUUUAUGCUCUGCGUUACGUUGAUGUGACUGUAAAGAACCAUGUUCUCAAAGAACUCUGGGUUUAUACUGAGCUCAGAAGUCCUGUCUGAAAACUGGUUCUUUAGCUAGCAGGUAUGAUGCCAGUCUUCAUUUGAGGACUUCCGUCCAUGCCUUUUUCAUUGGUCUUUUCUUCUACACACAUGUUGGAAGCACAAAUCAUUUUUGAAGGGUGUGAAAUGCAGCAGCUUUACACUGUUCAGAAGCAAUACUUUGGUUUUACUGCAAACUUUAAUGUAGAUGGCUUGGAGCAACUAUUAGAGUUACAAGCAGAAUAAAUCAACCAGCCAAGUGUCUCUGGUUGCCCAAAUCUCAGAUUUCACAGCAAAAAAAAGCCAAUGUGUGGUGCCACGUGAGAGUGGGAUCCCCUACCUAAGGAAAGUGAUGUAAUCUGUGGAGCUACAAUAGCAAUAAUCUUCUUCGUCAUCCUGUUUCUGUGAGCACUAGCAAUGAAGCAUUAUUAUUUUUCACAACACACUGACUUUUACCAAAGAGUGGGAAUUUCUUCAUUAAUACUGGGGAUACUCCAUUGAUUUUAGAGAAAAGGCUCUUUAUACCUAUACAGAACGCGAGCCAGAAAUUAAAAUUAUAGUAAUUAACUCCAAAACAUAUUUUCCUGCUUAGAAAUCCCAUUCAAGUGCAUAAAUAUCAUUUGAGAAUUACAACACUUGCACAUUGCAUAUCUGCACAUCACAGAUGAUGUAUUCCUCCAAUGCAUGGCUCUACUCGUGCUACAGAUGAGCACAGUCUGAGCAGCCAGCUGGGUGGAUGGCCAGAGGAGAAGUGUCAUUUGGUGCAUCCAUGGAGCUCAACCAGCUGUCUGCCCCAAUGGUGAAAAGCAUCUCUUCCCUUUGCGACUUCUGGCGUGGAUCAGAGAGCCACUAGAACUGGAAAGAUACUGAAUUUCAGCUGGGACACACACAAGCUGCUAAUUGCAUCUCCGCUUCCUACUGCUGGUUGUGCAGGGUGUGGGGUUAAUUCACAGCACAGAGGGAUGAGACAGAGCAAGAAUUCCGUGAGAGAUGAUCUUCUAAAUCAUGACUGACUGCUCUGCAACAGUGAUUAAGGGCCCCAGGAAGAACCAGAGAGCCACUGCAGUAGGUACUGUAUGGACACACACAUUAUUUCUCCCCCCUGCACAUAAAUUUUAUAUAGCUGUGGGGCAGCAGACAUAACACACAUGUACACAGAUAUCUGUGUAUCCUAAGAUCAUCCUGGUUGCUUUUCUCAGAGCUAUUCAGUCUCAGUUGCACUCAUUUUGACUUCAGUCAAGCUCUGAUGAUGUACACAUUAAAAGUCCUUAUGGGACUACGGGAAGAAGGAGCAUUACCUACCACACUGCUCUACAAGUUGCACAGCACGACUGUCCUCCUUCUUUUGUAGCAGUUAUUCCUCCUCAUUUCAGCCUCGCAGCAUCAGGCAAGCCCUAAGCUUGAUCCAAUAUACUGAUUUCUUUUUUUCAAGUGUUCCCAGUUUAUAAUUGGGGGAGGGAGAGAAAAGAAGCAGUGAUGAUUAUCAUAUGCACCAUGUGCCUCAGCACAGGGAACAGCUGGAAUGGUGUGUGCAGUGGUACAACUUCUCAGUGCAACAUGUGCUUUGUCUGCCUCUUUCUGUACAAGUUUCUUUCUUCUGUUCACUUCUCCCUGCUUUGAUGAUUUUGUUUUCUUGUUUUCUUGCCAAUAUUGCUUGAGAUGUACGGUUUCCAGCUCUACUGCUCCUGGGCAGCCCUGCCAUAUGGGCUGCUCAGCAUUAUCAGUGUCUGGGUAAUGAAGAAAUUUUGCUUUGAGGUUAUGUGGCCAUAUGGGCUGCCUGAAGACAAGAAGCUUUAUUUCCAGCUCCAGAGCUGAUUCACAGCAUGACUUCUGUGUGGCCAAGGGUGCCACAGAUAAAUUUAGCUCUCUGCUGCAUGUCAAGGUUUCUAGUUCCUCCAGGCUUCAGAAACUGAGUAAAUGAGACUCUGGAAGAGCUGAUGGUCUACUGAAGGAUGAUGACACGAGUCUUAGGUUUGCAGAUGCACAAAAGGAGGGUUGAAAAUUCCCUGUUGUGUAUCUGGAGUUCCCAGGGCUUGGCUUGGGCCAGUCUUAGAAUCACAGAACAGUGGAACCAUUACAGUUGGAAACGACCACUAAGGUCAUCUAGUCCAACCAUCAACCCACCACUGCCACAAGUCUUCCUAGAGUCUUGGAUUUCCUGCAGUGAAAUAAAAGUACUGCAGCUUCUGCACUUCGAUUUUGUAGACAGUCAACUGCCAUGAGACUUCCCAAGCUGCUCUGUCCAUCUUUUCACUUUUGGGAAGCCCACGGGUCCCACUGGGUGAAAGCAAUACUGAUCCUGGGGCCAUCUGCGUGGCUGGGUUGCUCACAUCUCUGGGAUGUGAAAGCUGCAAGAGCUCCUGGUAGCUAAGAGCCUUUCCAAAACACCUAUGAGUGGGAAUGACACAAUGAUCUUUGGGUGAGGUGCCUUCAGGGCUACUUUGUAUGACAAAGAGGAGGGCUCAACGUGUACAUAAUGCCCACUAAUAGCAAAUACUUCUCAUGGUGUGCCUAACAACCUCUCCGAGAACAAGCUUUGUGUGUCUCAUUUCCCGGGUCACCAUUCUUUGAAUUUCACCUUCACCACAAGAAAACCUAAGCGAGAAUUUGUGGUUAUCAUUCACCAGAGUUGGGACAACACAGCAAGUCUUGGUACCUCCAUUCUACCUUGCGAAAUCUGUCUUCAUAUUUGGCUGCCCCAGCAAUGGAACACGAAGGCCAGUGCCAAGAGAAUACAUCAUUCCCACAACAUGUGGCUGCCAACGAGCCUGCAAGGCUGAGCUGAAGAGUUCAAAGCUUUAAGCUUGGACCAAGACGCCGUGCUGAGGUCGUGCAGUGCUGGCGGGAUGGCUAGGGAUGCAGUAACAAGGAAUCGUGACGUGAGCCAUCAUCGAGUGCUCUCCAGACAGUCACGGAGAUGCAGAUUUACCUCCUCCGUACCAAGGAUCAUUAUUUCUGUGUGGUAUUUUUAGACUGUAAGCACCCAGGAGAUUGUUAGAAGCAGGUAGGCUGUUCUGCAUUCCUACAGUCCCACAGAGGUUAGGCUGAGGAAGGAGUUUGUGGGGCAAGACUGAGUCAUCUGGAUAGAGUGCAGAAGGUUUGCUUUACACCUACACAGGACAUUGCCUUUUUUUUUUUUUUCUGUGUUCUUCAAUCUCCUGUGCUUUUUUAACAGUCUUUAUGAAAGAUCAAUGUAAAUGGAUAAAUAAAUAAAACUACCCUAUCCAUAUCAUUAGGGUCCAGGUUUAGACAUCAGCAGUGUCAGUAGCAGCACCUCAGCACCAGUCUGGAAAAGCUUUCCUUGUCCUAUGAGAUUCAUCCUCCUGCUGUAUAUUACCCAGCAUAUGUUCCAGCAGCUCUUCAGAAACAGGUUCAGGCUUUCUGGUGCAAGGGCCCCUAUCCAAACCAAAUAUACUGAGUGCAAGAGGCAAGCAGAUGAGUGCUAGAGGGCUAUGGUCUUUCCCACAUGUUCACUUGGACAGUUUAGACACACUUCUAAAAAACCACAGUCCCUGAGGACAUUGCUCUGUCUGCAAGGGAAUGUACUUGUUAAGCUGGGGAGAGAAAAAGCCUUCUUCUCAGAAAUGAAGCAGGUUGUCUUCCAGCAUUCAGAAUGAGGGACAGUGGCCACUAAGGUGGUUGAGCAUGCAUAAAUAUCCAUAAAUAUCCAUGCUGGAACCACCACCACGUGGUAGCAUAUGAUGCAUGAAUUGUGUUUCAACUGUGAAGGUGUUGGAGCAUGGAUUUCCAGAUCAGAAGAGGAGGGGAGGCUUCAUAGGGAAAAUGCUGGGAUUUGGGAGGGUAGUGAUGCUCAGUGGGGAGGGGAAGAAGAUAACAGACCAUAGAAUCAUUUGAGUUGGAAGGGACCAUUAAAGAUCACCUAGCCCAAGUCCUCUGCAGUGAACAGGGACAUCUGUAACUCAGUCAGAUGCUCAGAGCCCUGUCCAGCCUGACUUUGAACGUCUCUUGCGAUGGGGCACCCACCACCCCUAUGGGCAAUCUGUGCCAGUGCCUCACCACCCUUAUUAUAAAGAACUCCAAAUCUCCCCUCCUAUAGUUUGAAAUCAUUUUCCCUUGUCCUGUCACCACAGACCCUGCUAAAGAGUCAGUCCCUUUCUUUCUUAUAGACCCCCUUUAGAUACUGAAAGGCAUCUAUCAAGUCUCUUCUCCAGGCUGAACAUCCCCAGCUCUCUCAGCUCAUCUUUGUAGCGGAGGUGUUCCAUCCCUUGGAUCACUCUUGUGGCCCUCCACUGGAUGCACUCCAACAGCUCCAUGUCUCUCCUGUACUGAGGACUCCACAUCUGGACGCAGUGCUCCAGUCUUCUUCCUCAACUACAAAUGAAUAAAAUCGGCCCUGGCCAAGCAGGAGGGAACACCAGGUCUGCCACCAUCUCCACCGGGCAGCACCUUGCACUUGGCUCUGUUGAGCUUCAUUAGGUUCACGUGGGCCCACUUUUCAAGCCUGUCCACGUCCCUCUGGAUGCCAUCCCUUCCUUCUACUGUGUCAACGGCACCACUCAGCUCAGUGCCACCAGCAAACUGCUGAGAGUGCACUCAAUCCCAUCAUUGAUGUCAAUGAUGAAGAUGUUGAAAAGCACCAGCCCCAAGACGGAUCCCUGGGGGACACCGCUCAUGACCAGCCUUCACCUGGACACACAGCCAUUGACUGCAACCCUCUGGCUGCAGCCAUCCAACCAACUCUUUAUCCACCCAAUAGCCCAGCCUUCAUAUCCAUAUCUCUCCAAUUUAGAGAUAAGGAUGUGGUGCAGGGCUAUGCCAAAGGCCUUGCACAAGUCCAGGUAGAUGACAUCAGCUGCCUUUCCUUUGUCCACCAGUGCUAUCACUUAAAUACUGAGUGGUCAAGAUAAGAAACUGUGAGAUUCCUUUGUAGCAAGAUCAGUUCAAAUUAGACGUUAAGAAGAACUCGGUAGCAGAGAGCAGGACUCUGGAAUCAGCUGUCUGAGGUCUCUGCAGUCUCCAACACUGCAAGCUUUUAAGGAGAAUCUCUUUAAGCACAGAGUUAAUAUCAACCUCUGCUGGGAAUGGCAUAGAUGGAGUUGUUUCCUGCUUAGACUAGAAAGAUAAAGCAUGUGAUCCUUCAGGAUGCCUUUCAGUUUUAUUCCUCGACAGUUUCACGAGAUUUCCUUUGAGGAUAGAACAAAGUGUUAUCAGCCUCCAUAAAACAGUGCAGAGAGAGCUAUGCUGCCUUUCUGGGAAGUCCAGCUGGACUUGAGGGAAUGGGAUUUAUCUCUGCUGUUUUCUGAGGAGCAUCUCUAGGCCACGUUCAGGACCAGAUGUACCCUCUGUACAGGCAGCCAUCACACAAAAGCAACUUUUGUGCACACAGAGGCCUCAACGAUGAGCUCAAAGAACGCAGUCCACAAGAGCCCAGCAUGACAUUGGAAGCACUGCAGGACAGCAACAGACAUUUUCUGCCUCCCAGUGCUGAGGAAAUGGCUUGAUUCUGCAAAUUCUGACCUCCAGCACAGGGAAAGAAUUGAGGUCCUACACUACUCCUCACAGAGUCCUUUUGGAAUUGUUAACAGACUAGCCAGGAAGAAAGAAAAAUUACUGUGCUAUAAUUUGAAGCAUGAAAGAAGACGAUGGAAACAGAGGGACCCCUCAAGACCUCUGAUCAAAAUGUUGCUGCCACAGGUACCCUGCCAUAUGUUCCCACUCACACCUUCAAUAUUAUUAAAAGUCUUUUCCAGAACUGCAUUCCUCUGAUGCCUCAAAGCCAUCUGCUGGUUUUUCCACUUCAAAAGUAGCCAUGGCCCAAUUUACAUCCAUUUACAUUUGUGCCUAAAAUGCUUCAGAGACCUGAAGCUUGAAUAGCUCCUCUCCCUCCUGUACGUGUAUGGAAAGAUCCCCUCUCCUGUCCAUCCUCAUAUAGGAAUUUUAUUCCUAUAUUGUACUCGAGAAACUCAGGUUUGGUGCCUAAAACUAAAGAAAAGGGUUGAAAAGGACCACAAUGAUCAUCUAGUUUUAACCACA
ensembl:lncRNA